UUUCUGGACUUUUUGGACCCAGACCAAUUCCAACUAUCACUACUAGAAAGAAGGACUUUGUAGAAGCCGCAUCAGCUGCUAAGCCAUUUACCAAAUUAAAGUUAAAUUAAACUAUAUUAAUGAACCCAAACCAGAUGCCCUAAUGAAUUGGAACAAAGACUGCAGAUUAUUAAAAUCAAGUACGGAAGCCAGAUUACCAUUUAGACCAAGUGAUUGUCUUGAGUUAAAGAAGGAGGAAGAUUCUAUUAGGAGAUGGUGCACUGUGAACUGGUUGCCACAAAGAGAGUAGGUAGGCGGGGGUCACCUUUUAAAAGAAAAGCACGCGAGAAAUAGCAAUGGCCCAAUCUGAGCCAAUACCAAAUGACUUCUUCAUUUCUGGAGAAUGACCAAACUACAGGAGCUUGGAAGAAUUAAGAUGUAAAAGUUUUAGUUCAGGGAUAGAAAAUGCGACUGGUAUAAAAUCUCCAUCAUUCGCCGCAGUCUUAGCAAUCUUAUCAGCAUCUUCAUUAUCUCUUACGCCCAUAUGGCUAGGAAUCCAUACUAGAACUACAGUUAAGCCUUUAGAUAUUGAGGAACGAUGCAAGUCGAGCGAUUUAACGACUAGAGGAUGUUUUGAACUGUUUGAAUCAAUGCAUUUAGUGACUCUGAAGAUAUAACCCAUUUGGAAAGAGGUGUCCAUUUUUCGGGCCGGUUAGUGUAGUUGGUAAGAACAAACCAAAAGCUAUUCUUAUUAUAGUAUCCAACUCUCUCAAGAUUGUAGGGAUAUUUUAUCUUAUACACGUAUUGUCAAAUAUUUCUGUAUGAAAACUUAAAAGUAGAGUAAAUUAUCAGUAUCAGGAAUUUCAGCGACAGGUAUA